AGAGUUUGAUCAUGGCUCAGGACGAACGCUGGCGGCGUGCUUAACACAUGCAAGUCGAACGGAAAGGCCCUUCGGGGUACUCGAGUGGCGAACGGGUGAGUAACACGUGGGUGAUCUGCCCUGCACUCUGGGAUAAGCCUGGGAAACUGGGUCUAAUACCGGAUAGGACCGCAUGCUUCAUGGUGUGUGGUGCAAAGCUUUUGCGGUGUGGGAUGAGCCCGCGGCCUAUCAGCUUGUUGGUGGGGUAAUGGCCUACCAAGGCGACGACGGGUAGCCGGCCUGAGAGGGUGACCGGCCACACUGGGACUGAGAUACGGCCCAGACUCCUACGGGAGGCAGCAGUGGGGAAUAUUGCACAAUGGGCGCAAGCCUGAUGCAGCGACGCCGCGUGAGGGAUGACGGCCUUCGGGUUGUAAACCUCUUUCAAUAGGGACGAAGCGCAAGUGACGGUACCUAUAGAAGAAGGACCGGCCAACUACGUGCCAGCAGCCGCGGUAAUACGUAGGGUCCGAGCGUUGUCCGGAAUUACUGGGCGUAAAGAGCUCGUAGGUGGUUUGUCGCGUUGUUCGUGAAAACUCACAGCUUAACUGUGGGCGUGCGGGCGAUACGGGCAGACUAGAGUACUGCAGGGGAGACUGGAAUUCCUGGUGUAGCGGUGGAAUGCGCAGAUAUCAGGAGGAACACCGGUGGCGAAGGCGGGUCUCUGGGCAGUAACUGACGCUGAGGAGCGAAAGCGUGGGGAGCGAACAGGAUUAGAUACCCCGGUAGUCCAA
rnacentral:rRNA from 1 species